GACGAACGCUGGCGGCGUGCUUAACACAUGCAAGUCGAACGAAGUGGCAAACGGGUGAGUAACGCGUAAUCAACAUGACCUUCAGCGGGGGACAACAGUUGGAAACGACUGCUAAUACCGCAUACUGAAGGAGGGGUAUGCGUCUGAUUCGCUAGUUGGCGGGGUAACGGCCCACCAAGGCGAUGAUCAGUAGCCGGUCUGAUGUGUUGCACUGCCAUAUUGGUAAUGAGACCCGGCCCACACUCCUACGGGAGGCAGCCGUGGGGAAUCUUCCUCAAUGGACGAAAGUCUGACGGGGCAACGCCGCGUGAGUGAUGACGGCCUUCGGGUUGUAAAGCUCUGUUAAUCAGGACGCGGUACCGGAAUAGAAAGCCACGGCUAACUACGUGCCAGCCGCCGCGGUAAUUC
rnacentral:rRNA from 1 species